ACCCGUGCAGUGAUGUACGGCUGGGCUGCAAGAAGUCAGCAGAGGUCAUAGUACCGAAAAAAAUUCGGGAAGGAC
rnacentral:ncRNA from 1 species